AACUGCCCCCAGGACCCUGUGCCCCAACCCUGACUGGAUGCCCCACUCCUCAGUAAUCCCCAGAGCUGGUGGGGAGCCAGGCACCGGGAGCCAAGCAUUAUGGAUUAUGCUCCAAACCAAGAAGGACAACUAACAACUCAGGACGCAGCUCCACUCUCACCGGUAUUGAUCCCCGCCCUGCGGUGGCAUUGAGACCAGUGAGGACCAGACUCGCUUGUGGAAGGAGACAGCAUUUCCUGCUUCCCAGACACUGAAGGUUUCCAUCGACGCAGAACGUCUCUGGACAGAAGGAGGACUCUGGGUCCACACCAAGCGACCACCGCGUCUGGCUCAGCUGCCCAGCCCCCGGCAGAAACUCCUCGGAAGUCUGCAAAACACGGCCGCGGCUUCUCUUGAACAUCAGCAGGGCGUUCCAGUCUGCGUCUUUACAUUUUUCUCAUUUCGGGGAGGGAUCUGAGGCCUCCUUCCACCACCAUCUCCGCGCACACAGCCCACGCCUUCCCUGGAGACGGCGGGUGCCUGCAGCAAACUCUUAGGCUGGCUUGGAUGACCCCUUCCCUGAUGCCCCCUCCUCCCGCCAGGCAGAGCUGGGUCCUUCGCCUCUGCUGCCCCUGAGCUGGGCAUCCAUACCUCCAUUAUCGCUCCCUAAUGGGGCUCGGCUUGUCUCUGCCAUCCCCAUUUGGCUGCUUCUGGAGGCUCAGGCUCUAUCCUCCUCAUCUGGCCCCAUGGUAAACCCCCAACAAACACACGCUGGCAGAAUGAGCAAAAGAAUGUACCAGAGGCUAGUACAAAGAAUGUACGUUUGUCAGCUCUGUUCCGUUUGGAGACGAGGACCCAGGCCAGCGGGAGCAGCUACACUGCUGCUCAGCUGUGUCUGCAGAGCGAAGGAUCUCCGUGGAAAACUUAGUGUGGGAAAUGACAACUCCUAGGCCCAUGAAUCAGCGAAUGCCCACCUUCCCGGGGGAAGUUCCAUGUUCGCGGGGAGAGGGGAAGCCGGAUCAGAGCCAUUGCACCAGAGGACUGGCCACCGGUUCCACUCAAGGCCCCAAACACCUGGGAACCCCUAAGAAGAGCCAGAUCCCAAACAUGUGCCAGGACAUCAUGGAACCUCGGCUGACACCAGCAUCAAUACACCCGCCUUCAGUGCUUUACGGAGUAACCUCGCUUGUUCACCUGACACUCGCCUUUGACCAGACCGUACCCCGGAUUCCUGGAGGAACACGUACCCUAGACCUUCCUCUGACAUAAACCCCCAGCCCCAAGCAACGAUGAGACUCUUUUUUCCUCUCCUCUCCAAGUCUCUCAAGAUGCGCCGUGUGCUAUUCUCCACCUGUCAUUUAACGCUCUUCAAUAAAUUCUGUUUUCACUUUCUCUGGCUCGUGUUU
rnacentral:lncRNA from 1 species